UGACAGUGUGUUGUUCAUAACAGCGUGUGGGAGUCUUUUGUCAGGGUGGAGGUGUGCGUUCACUCCUGUCUUCUAAAGAAAGUCUUCUCUACAGCGAGAGAGAGAGAGAGAUUCAAACCGACAGGAGAGGCAGCUCUGAAAGCAAAGGAUCUCAUCCAUCUGUCCUCUCAAACCCUUGUACUCCACUUCGUCAAACGAGCCAGAAGCAUCAUGGGAAGAGGCGCGAGCGAGGAGUGGGAUGAAAAGCCCCACGACACGAGGCAAACUCAGCCCAAGAGAGGAGAAGAGUCGGACUCAGACAGAAACGGCUCCUCGGGGAGGAGUUGUCCCAAGUGCUGCCUGCGGACGAGGGACUGUCUGAUGAGCGCCGAGUGUGGCCGAGCGCUUCAGAUCUCCAGCGUCGUCGCCAUGUGUGGAAUGUGCCUCCGCAUGUUCGUGUAACCUGAUCCAGAACAUCAGGCGUUUCCAGGAUGUUCUCUGCACCUCCUGGUGACUCUCUUGAGACCGACGCGCCUCAUUUCAUCUACGUUAAAAACAAAUCUACGAUCUUUGUAUUCAACAUGAACAAAUCUGUAAUGUGUCACUGUCACUGUGACCUGCAUGAAGCCUUUGUGAUUAAUAAUUUCUUAUUGGGGUCAUGGUUUGGUUUGUAGUCGGUUUCAAGGACUUGGUUCUGGUUCUGUUGGACUCUAGCAGUCCCUCCAGUGAGCAGAACCUAGUGAGGUGCCGUCUCUUCAGUAUAAACUCAUCAUGACUUCCUGCUCACACGUGGUGCCCUCAAACAUCCCGAGUCCACCACUGUGGUUUGUUUUCAACCAACAAUAAUCAAAGUAAUAUUUUGUUCCACCUGGUUCAACCACAGAUAUUUGGCACAGCACGUCCUGCACUAAACUUGAUGGAAAUGUUAAUUCCCUCUGUGAAGUCUUUGGUCUGCGUUCACAUCCAGAAGCUGCUUUAAAAACUGCGAGGAGAAACUGUUACACUUCUCUUGUUGUUGUUGUUUGUCUGUCCUCGUCUCUCUGAAACUUUCCCACACAGCUGAUUGGAUAGAAAGACGGUCGGUGUCUUCUUCAUCUGUUUUAUUGUUUAUUAUAUUGUUUAGUAUUGGAUACUUGGAUACCAAAACUGGAUUUGAGUUUGGAUCAGAAACGUUAUAUGUUCUCUAUUCUUUAUACGUCUGCUCCUGUUCCAUCACAUCUCCACUGCUCUUGAUGCGUCAGUACUUAGUCAAACCAUAUGUUAUAUAUUUAUAGUUGAGAUGUUUUGAAUGCUGUAAUAUAACUGUAAUAUUAUGAUUUGUAGUAAUACUUGUGAUUUACGGAUGUGCAGAGGAAGAACUUCUUCCUCUCCUGAAACACGAGCGAGAUGACCAGAUGGUA